rnacentral:rRNA from 1 species
CCUACGGGAGGCAGCAGUGAGGAAUAUUGGUCAAUGGACGAGAGUCUGAACCAGCCAAGUAGCGUGAAGGAUGACUGCCCUAUGGGUUGUAAACUUCUUUUAUAUGGGAAUAAAAUGUUCCACGUGUGGGAUUUUGUAUGUACCAUAUGAAUAAGGAUCGGCUAACUCCGUGCCAGCAGCCGCGGUAAUACGGAGGAUCCGGGCGUUAUCCGGAUUUAUUGGGUUUAAGGGGAGCGUAGGUGGAUUGUUAAGUCAGUUGUGAAAGUUUGCGGCUCAACCGUAAAAUUGCAGUUGAAACUGGCAGUCUUGAGUACAGUAGAGGUGGGCGGAAUUCGUGGUGUGGCGGUGAAAUGCUUAGAUAUCACGAAGAACUCCGAUUGCGAAGGCAGUUCACUGGACUGCAACUGACACUGAGGCUCGAAAGUGUGGGUAUCAAACAGGAUUAGAUACCCUAGUAGUC